AGGACGAACGCUGGCGGCGUGCUUAACACAUGCAAGUCGAGCGGUAAGGCCCUUCGGGGUACACGAGCGGCGAACGGGUGAGUAACACGUGGGUAACCUGCCCUGUACUCUGGGAUAAGCCUGGGAAACUAGGUCUAAUACCGGAUAUGACACUUCAUCGCAUGGUGGGGUGUGGAAAGUUCCGGCGGUACAGGAUGGACCCGCGGCCUAUCAGCUUGUUGGUGGGGUAAUGGCCUACCAAGGCGACGACGGGUAGCCGGCCUGAGAGGGCGACCGGCCACGACUGGGACUGAGACACGGCCCAGACCUCCGUACGGGAGGCAGCAGGUGGGAAUAUGCACAAGUGGGACAAAGCCUGACUGCGAGCGACGCCGACGUGAGGGAUGACGGCCGUUCGGGUCUAAACCGUUCUUUACCGAAGGUUACGGGAC
rnacentral:rRNA from 1 species